rnacentral:tRNA from 1 species
GCGGAGCGUGGCGGCGGCUGGCCGCUUAAUUUCCCAAAUUCCUAAUCUGGGGGUCGCAGGUUCGAAUCCUGCCGGGCGCGCCA